GGGGAAUAUUGGACAAUGGGCGAAAGCCUGAUCCAGCCAUGCCGCGUGUGUGAAGAAGGUCUUCGGAUUGUAAAGCACUUUAAGUUGGGAAGAAACCGCACCGUGCUAAUCAGCGGUGCCUUGACGGUACCUUCAAAGGAAGCACCGGCUAACUCCGUGCCAGCAGCCGCGGUAAUACGGAGGGUGCAAGCGUUAAUCGGAAUUACUGGGCGUAAAGCGCACGUAGGCUGCUUUGUAAGUCAGGGGUGAAAUCCCACGGCUCAACCGUGGAACGGCCUGUGGUACUGCUUAGCUUGAAUGCGGGAGAGGGUGGCGGAAUUCCAGGUGUAGGAGUGAAAUCCGUAGAUAUCUGGAGGAACAUCAGUGGCGAAGGCGGCCACCUGGACCGGUAUUGACGAUGAGGUGCGAAAGCGUGGGGAGCAAACA
rnacentral:rRNA from 1 species